rnacentral:rRNA from 1 species
UACGUAGGGGGCAAGCGUUGUCCGGAAUCAUUGGGCGUAAAGAGCGUGUAGGCGGCUCGAUAAGUCUGCUGUGAAAGUCCAGGGCUCAACCCUGGAAGGCCGGUGGAAACUGUCGGGCUAGAGUCCGGAAGAGGCGAGUGGAAUUCCCGGUGUAGCGGUGAAAUGCGCAGAUAUCGGGAGGAACACCAAUGGCGAAAGCAGCUCUCUGGGACGGUACUGACGCUGAGACGCGAAAGCUAGGGUAGCAAACGGG